UGGAAGGGCAUUGCCAGGGAAACAGCUCCUGGAAAUGCUCUGAGGGCAGGGGGAAUCUCAGCCCAGGAUGGAUGGCUGGGCCCUCAAUGGAUGACUGGGAAUGUGGGGUUCCCUCAGUGGAUAACUGGGAAUGUGGGGUUCCUUCAAUGAUAACGGGGAAUGUGGGGUUCCCUCAUGGAUAACUGGGGAUGUGGGGUUCCCUCAUGGAUAACUGGGAAUGUGGGGUUCCUGCAUGGAUAACUGGGAAUCUGGGGUUCCCUGCAUGGAUAAUUGGGAAUGUGGUGUUCCCUCAUAAUUGGGAAUGUGGGGUUCCCUCAUGGGUAACUGGGGAUGUGGGGUUCCCUCAUGGAUAAUUGGGAAUGUGGGGCUCCCUCAGUGGAUAACUGGGAAUGUGGAGUUCCCUCAAUGGAUAACUGGGAGUGUGGAGUUCCUGCAUGGAUAACUGGGAAUGUGGUGUUCCCUCAUAAUUGGGAAUGUGGGGUUCUCUCAAUGAAUAACUGGGAAUGUGGGGUUCCCUCAAUGGAAAAGUGAGAAUGUGGGGUUCCCUCAUGGAUAACUGGGAAUGUGGGGUUCCCUCAUGGAUAACUGGGAAUGUGGGGUUCCCUCAAGGAAUAACAGUGAAUGUGGGGUUCCCAUGUCCCUGUCCCUGGAUGGAUGGCUGUCCCUAAGGGGUCCCCAUGUCCCUGGAUGGAUGGCUGUCCCUAAGGGGUCCCCAUGUCCCUCAAUGGAUGGCUGUCCCUAAGGGGUCCCCACGUCCCUGGAUGGAUGGCUGUCCCUAAGGGUCCCCAUGUCCCUCAAUGGAUGGCUGUCCCUAAGGGGUCCCCAUGUCCCUCAAUGGAUGGCUGUCCCUAAGGGGUCCCCAUGUCCCUGGAUGGAUGGAUGGCUGUCCCUAAGGGUGCCCAUGUCCCUGGAUGGAUGGAUGGCUGUCCCUAAGGGUGCCCAUGUCCCUGGAUGGAUGGCUGUCCCUAAGGGGUCCCCAUGUCCCUCAAUGGAUGGCUGUCCCUAAGGGUUCCCAUGUCCCUGGAUGGAUGGCUGUCCCUAAGGGUCCCCAUGU
ensembl:lncRNA